AGUGAACGCUGGCGGUAGGCCUAACACAUGCAAGUCGAACGGCAGCACAGUAAGAGCUUGCUCUUACGGGUGGCGAGUGGCGGACGGGUGAGGAAUACAUCGGAAUCUACUUUUUCGUGGGGGCUAACGUAGGGAAACUUACGCUAAUACCGCAUACGACCUACGGGUGAAAGCAGGGGAUCUUCGGACCUUGCGCGAUUGAAUGAGCCGAUGUCGGAUUAGCUAGUUGGCGGGGUAAAGGCCCACCAAGGCGACGAUCCGUAGCUGGUCUGAGAGGAUGAUCAGCCACACUGGAACUGAGACACGGUCCAGACUCCUACGGGAGGCAGCAGUGGGGAAUAUUGGACAAUGGGCGCAAGCCUGGUCCAGCCAUACCGCGUGGGUGAAGAAGGCCUUCGGGUUGUAAAGCCCUUUUGUUGGGAAAGAAAAGCAGCAGGUUAAUACCCCGCUGUUCUGACGGUACCCAAAGAAUAAGCACCGGCUAACUUCGUG
rnacentral:rRNA from 1 species